rnacentral:rRNA from 1 species
AGUGAACGCUGGCGGUAGGCCUAACACAUGCAAGUCGAACGGCAGCACAGGAGAGCUUGCUCUCUGGGUGGCGAGUGGCGGACGGGUGAGGAAUACAUCGGAAUCUACUCUGUCGUGGGGGAUAACGUAGGGAAACUUACGCUAAUACCGCAUACGACCUACGGGUGAAAGCAGGGGAUCUUCGGACCUUGCGCGAUUGAAUGAGCCGAUGUCGGAUUAGCUAGUUGGCGGGGUAAAGGCCCACCAAGGCGACGAUCCGUAGCUGGUCUGAGAGGAUGAUCAGCCACACUGGAACUGAGACAAGGUCCAGACUCCUACGGGAGGCAGCAGUGGGGAAUAUUGGACAAUGGGCGCAAGCCUGAUCCAGCCAUACCGCGUGGGUGAAGAAGGCCUUCGGGUUGUAAAGCCCUUUUGUUGGGAAAGAAAUCCAGCUGGCUAGUACCCGGUUGGGAUGACGGUACCCAAAGAAUAAGCACCGGCUAACUUCGUGCCAGCAGCCGCGGUAA